GCCCUGCUUUUGUGGGGUGCUCGAGUGGCGAACGGGUGAGUAACACGUGAGUAACCUGCCCUUGACUUUGGGAUAACUUCAGGAAACUGGGGCUAAUACCGGAUAGGAGCUCCUGCUGCAUGGUGGGGGUUGGAAAGUUUCGGCGGUUGGGGAUGGACUCGCGGCUUAUCAGCUUGUUGGUGGGGUAGUGGCUUACCAAGGCUUUGACGGGUAGCCGGCCUGAGAGGGUGACCGGCCACAUUGGGACUGAGAUACGGCCCAGACUCCUACGGGAGGCAGCAGUGGGGAAUAUUGCACAAUGGGCGGAAGCCUGAUGCAGCAACGCCGCGUGCGGGAUGACGGCCUUCGGGUUGUAAACCGCUUUCGCCUGUGACGAAGCGUGAGUGACGGUAAUGGGUAAAGAAGCACCGGCUAACUACGUGCCAGCAGCCGCGGUGAUACGUAGGGUGCGAGCGUUGUCCGGAUUUAUUGGGCGUAAAGGGCUCGUAGGUGGUUGAUCGCGUCGGAAGUGUAAUCUUGGGGCUUAACCCUGAGCGUGCUUUCGAUACGGGUUGACUUGAGGAAGGUAGGGGAGAAUGGAAUUCCUGGUGGAGCGGUGGGAAUGCGCAGAUAUCAGGAGGAACACCAGUGGCGAA
rnacentral:rRNA from 1 species